AAAAGGGUGGUAAUGCCGGAUGCUCCAGUUGAUCGCAUGGUCUUCUGGGAAAGCUUUCGCGGUAUGGGAUGGGGUCGCGUCCUAUCAGCUUGACGGCGGGGUAACGGCCCACCGUGGCUUCGACGGGUAGCCGGCCUGAGAGGGCGACCGGCCACAUUGGGACUGAGAUACGGCCCAGACUCCUACGGGAGGCAGCAGUGGGGAAUAUUGCACAAUGGGCGCAAGCCUGAUGCAGCGACGCCGCGUGAGGGAUGGAGGCCUUCGGGUUGUAAACCUCUUUUAUCGGGGAGCAAGCGAGAGUGAGUUUACCCGUUGAAUAAGCACCGGCUAACUACGUGCCAGCAGCCGCGGUAAUACGUAGGGUGCAAGCGUUAUCCGGAAUUAUUGGGCGUAAAGGGCUCGUAGGCGGUUCGUCGCGUCCGGUGUGAAAGUCCAUCGCUUAACGGUGGAUCCGCGCCGGGUACGGGCGGGCUUGAGUGCGGUAGGGGAGACUGGAAUUCCCGGUGUAACGGUGGAAUGUGUAGAUAUCGAUA
rnacentral:rRNA from 1 species